CUCCCGCUGCCCGCGGCGGGGCCGCCCGCGCUGCACGGGCGGAGGUCGCGGCCCCGGUGCCCGUCCCCUCGCCCCGGGCUCCGGCACCUUUCCCCGGAAGGGAGACGCCGUUGCUUGGGCUGCUGCCCCCCCGUUCCCGGUGACUCAGAGCUGAGUGUGGUCACAGACUUCACCAGAUGACCUGCCUUCUUUUCAUAACCAUUCCAUGACAUCUAACAGUGAUUUAAGAAUUCUAGUGAAUUAAAGUCCCACAAGUUUCCUGGCAGGUUUUGCCAUUUCAAAAGGAUGGAAAAGAGAGAAGAAAACAAGUGUCAACAAGGAAAAUAAAGCAACCAUCAUCUCCUCCCAGUCCUGUUUCCCAUCCCUUCUUCCUCGCAGAACAUGCUCUUCCCAUUAUCCCUUCUGACCUCUGAAACAAAAGGGAAAAACAGAACGUGUGGUUAACGAAGUAAAGAGGGGGUGUGAAAGAAAAGCAGACAAAAGAAAGCAAAAGGUCUGUCAUGCCACGGAGAGAAGAACGGGAUGUGUUCUGAGGAAAGUAACAAAUGCCAGAGGGAAGAUCUGCAGGGGAAGCUGAGGAGAACUGCAUGUACCAGGGCUGGAGGAGGUCCUGGGGCUGGUUUGUCUACCAGUCCCAGAAGACAGCAGCUGAAUGAAAGCACUGCUCAGUACUGUGGUUCAAACCAAUGAUUUCCUGAGGAUCCGCAUCAGUUUCUGUACAAUAAAGUUUUU